rnacentral:rRNA from 1 species
AUGGCAACUACGGCGACGUUGACGCGCUUUUUAUCCCCCACCGUUGCCGCCUCCCGAGAUUCCGAGCGCGGCGACAAGCAGAUUUCCUUGGAUGUCUCCUUGCCCCUACCGUGCUCGAUUUCAUUCAAAGGCUUCAGGGCCUAUUUGUGCUUUCAGAUGAAGACUGAAUGCACGUGCAAAUACGAUCAGGAUGCAAUCGAGGAAUAUACGGGACUAUUUUUGCAAUUGUUGUCCCUCCCUAACUCCGUUGAGUCGAUAACCAUAUCAUCCUGUGAUGUAAGCUGGCUUAUGAUCUUUGGACAGAUUUUGGUCUCCUUAACUCUGAUUUCCUGGGACAGUGCAGCGAACACGAGCAAAUAA